rnacentral:lncRNA from 1 species
GGUCAAACUCCAACCAUGAGAGCGAACAAAAUAUGUACACAGAGAAGGAAAAGCAGAUAGAGGAUGAAGAAGCAUUGCUCUGUAUCAGCAGUUAGACAACCUCAAGAGUAAAAAGGAACAAAUACUUUUGUUCACAGCACACUUAAAGUUCAGGCACUCGGGGUGCAGGAAGCAGUAACAACGACGGCAACAGGAUAAGAACACUGGAGAAAUACCUUCAGACCAGCUUGGACCUUUGUCCUCACCUCUUGAAUUUGACCUGUAAGACCUUAUUUCAGCAACAAAGUGGCAUUGAAAAGGAAUUACAUCCCCGGUGCCACUGCUGGAAGGGGUUAAUAGCCAUACAGACCUUGACCACAGAGGCCUUAAUGGACCCAGGAACCAGUUCAGCAGAGGUGAUGGGACUCUGAAGGAAGCCAUGACACCACUUAUGAAGGCUCACACGGCAGGAGAAGUGCACGUACAAUUAAGAGCCAUUUCCAUUUGUGGCCCCUCGGUUCACUCAGCCAAUAAUACUUGAUUGAAAAACUCAAUUUGUAUGAAGCUUCCUGCAUGUGAAGAGCAAGAAGAAAGUUAAUGAAUUUAAAUCUUUCCCCUUAUUUAUCAUUUCCCUUCGUGGCAUCGCUCUUCCUGCCUCUCCACUGAGCUUCAGAACUCUUCUAUCCAUAAUGACAAAUUUAUUUUUCCUAUGCCACUCAAUGUAAAUGUGCACAAAGGCUCAUUUGCAUGUAUGCGAGUGUGGCGCGUGCCACACUGCGCCAUGCACACACACACAGACACAACGAGAU